rnacentral:misc_RNA from 1 species
CUAUGGCAGUAAAUUUCGGAACGCAGCAUCUACAUCACAUAUGUUCAGACUUUCGGACACCUUCGGGACACCACGAAAACGACGGUAACGAGACACUGUGUGAAAUGUGGAAUUACUUCUUGUUUGAAUUAAUUGGAUCGGAUCAAUUAUUGGUGGUAUUGUUCACUUUAGAGCAAUUUAAAGUGGUUUAAAGUGUAUUGAGCUGUAUUGGACACAAAACAUAAUCAUUAAAGAUUCUUACCUUAUCAGUAAAUAAUUAAACAAAUAGUAAAAAUAUAGAAGAUGAUGAUAAACGUAUUUGAUGUGUUUAUCUUCUUCGCGCCAGAUAUUAUUAUAGCUUUCUUCGCUUCAUCCAAACAUCUUUGUCACGUUUCAAUAUGUCGCAAGCAGUUACUUUAGAGUCUGCGAAUUUUUUUGGAGAAUGUCGGAUAAUACCUUGUGAUCCACGCUAAUCGGUACUGAUCGAUAAAUCCAAUUACUUAGCUGUCACUUUUAUGCAUCAUGGAGAAGCAGAGACAGAAGAAAAAACGAGGCAAGUUGCGCCAUUCAAUCCUAGAGCACCAGAUACCGGAUGCUCCUACAUUAGAAGAAUUUGAAUGCCUGCUUGGGGAAUCGCCAACAAAUUAUCCUAAGGGUGAAGCUGUAGAGGAUAUAGAAAGUGAAUUACAUUCAGCUGCUAUCGAUACUGAAAUUUAUGAGAAGCAGGCUGCCGAGAGAGCAGCCUAUGAGAAGAAAUACAGCCAGCAAAUAAAAAUGACGAAAGAGGUAAUAUUAUUAGCUGAAAACUCUCACGAUGAAGUCGACACUGUACAACCUUGUUUGGUAUCCGACGACACUCAGGAUAAUCAGAUAGAUCAGAUGCAAGUAGACAUUUCCACAAUUCAGCUAGUGGAUAUAUUACCAACUGUUCCAGAAGAAGUUAAUCAAACAGUCCAAGAGUUUGAAGAGUCUGUAAUCGAAGUAGAGACUUUAUAUCAAAAGACCUUGUCAAAACAGAUAGAAGUUUCUGAGGUCAAAAAAGACAUGCAGGCAAGUGCAUUCAAGGAUGUCAGACCGUUCACGGAACAACAAUUGGCGUCUUUGUAUCAUAAUCAGGAGCUGACAUUGGUGGACGCCUUCGUAGCCGAAUUCACAGAGGCGCAGUUGAGAUGCGCACCAUUGCGACAGCAGCACAGAUUGCACGAACUGCUGAUGAGCUAUUUGAGAGUGCGAAAUCACUUGAUCGCGAAUUCGUACGAGCUCGAGCGUCUGAAGAAGAACUGCCGGGAGACGCAGAAACAGCUUUGGUGUCUGGAGAAGACUUCGGAGACAGAGAACGGCGAAUGCCAAGACGGCAAUCCUGUCACCGCCACUCACGAGUAUUCAAUUGCUCAUUUCAACCAACAAGCCCUGGUAACGCUCUCCAGGACACUGUCGGCGAUCAAGGAUACUCUGCAUGACAGCCAGGCGUUGUACUGUUACGAGGCAGAAUCGUUGCGUCUGCAGAUUGAACAUUACGUACAGAGAAUCGCCAGAAGCUUCAACGAGUUUGCUAAUCUUUCGCAAACCGUCCCAGCAAAUCUUUUACCAGAGCAAUCAUUAUCGCAAACUGCCCCCCAACUGAUCGAGCUCAGAAUGUGCGUAACUGUCUUGUUCAACUUUCAACGUCGAGUUUUGAAGGAUGGUAAAUUCGUCACGGAUACUAGAGAGUGGCUUUCGAAGCUGGUGGCGGUGCUCCUGAGAGUCGCCACUUGGCAGGAUCAUUUGUUUCUGUUGAACCAUAUACUACGAUGCCCCGGGGGCGUGAUGAACUGGGCGAAAUCCUUUGUACAAGUGCCAGUGCCACCGAAAGUCUUGGGAUUGAGUUCUUCGCCAUUUAAUGAUCCAUACCUCGAUCAUAUGAUCGCUACUCUCGCAGUAAUCCUAUUGCCGAUCAAAGAUCGAGAUAAAUUCUUGGAGCAGGUGCAGGUAUCCUUGCAGGAUACCACAAGUAGUCCAGGGGACACAGUGUGGGUGAUGUUGGAUGAGGAGGGUGAAGAGGACGAAGAUAUUGCCAAUGUCGGCGCUAAUCUCUUUGAAAGUGACCUGAUCUCUCUUCUUCAUCAGAUCCCGCUGGACAAACUCUUCGAGCAGGUGCUGUUUAUUCAACGUCAAAAUGAUAAAUAUAAGCAGGAGGAGAAAGCCAUCACAACCCAUCACAUGUUACGUCUCUUCGCGUUCUACAGCGUGCUCAUCAAACUCCUGAAGCAAGGUCUAAAGUCUUACGACUCGCCAAGAUAUAGACAAUUGACAAAGAGACUUAGCGCGUUGAUCCGAGAUGUUGUGCAAUACGCCAGCGAUCAGUGGGAAGCUUUCGACAAAAGCCAAAUAACUGAUGAGUCAAAGGUGCUGAAACUACAGACCGAAUACGAUUGUUUUUUCCUGAGAGCGAUUCUAUGCAUAUUCUCGUCACGACGUUUAGGUGCUUGGCAAUAUCUUGCAGCAAUACCGUACCAUAUUAUAUCAUCCACUACUCUAUGGCACAUCUUCUAUAUCCUGCAUACUGAUGCCACAUCUACUGACAUAAAAAUGUCAAAUAUGUCAGUCUCAGACUGGGAAUCAGAGUUGAGUCAUCCUGAACUGCACGAACAAUUCGAGGAAAAGCUGGGCAACAUGCCCGGUGAUGAGUCUUACUUUCUGCUGACAACUUUUGCUAAUAUGGCUAUGGCUAGAGGCUACAAAGACUAUGAUUUUGUUAGAACAACUACGAUUAAUCUGUUUCAAAUUGGAUUUCUUAGCGAGAAAACUCAAGAAUCCUGCUCGAAAGAUGCGAGGUCACUUUUAUCGAACUUAACAAGCAAAUAUCCAACUCUGUUGUCAGAUAUCCUGCAAAAAUUAAAGGACAACUUUGUAGCAGUUGGAAAACUGAGUUUAUAUUUGUUCACUGAGUUGAAGAUAAACACAUGGGUACCACAGCAGCAGGAUAUGACAAUUUUGUCCACCUGGUUGCAUCAGUAUCCUCUAACUUCGUCCGAAAGUCAUUUGGCCCGGCUAGUUCUUACACAUUUGAAUUGGGGCCUUGAUGCAAAUGAUAAUCUGUUUCUUCCGAUUGAUUUGCAUCGACAAAUGGCAUUGUUGAUUAUCGAGCUUACAAUGAAAUAUGUGCCUGACACCCCAGUACAAACCGCUUCGUUAUUAGCUGAAAGUAUGAAACACGUUUCCUCAAUAGUGAGGCCUCAGAACAGUGAACAAGCUUUUAGUCUGUGGGCAUGGGAAAUGAUGAAUAGACUAAAGUUGCAUCAGUUAGAUCGAUCGGAAUCCAUCUGUCAAUAUACCAUUUCGAAUCCAGCCGAGGGUCUCGCUUGCGUGCCUAACAUGGAAUCAGACUCCUUCUUGGAGAUUCUGGUUAAAGGAGUGCGGGAGAAGCAGCCGAUCGCUAGUUUUGCCUCCGUACUAAUGACCUUAUGGGGCCACUCAGUGCCAUUGAUCUGCGUCGAGGGUUUUAGUCAGCUGCAAAACUUGCAGUGCUACUACAAAUACGAACAAGUGCUGAUAUGUUUACACCACGUGAUACCGUUGUUUCUUGAUUGUUCGGAUUCUUUGCUAAAAAACGAUAAAUUUGUCAGUCUGAUCGUGCCGCUCAUCAACGCCGACCGGACGUACAUGAAAAUAGCGAAAAAUCUAAUCGCCCCGGAAUUUCCCGGCCCGAUACUUAAGCAGUUUUCGAACAUGAUUGAAUCUCACUUGCAUCAUUAUAAAUGGUAUUGCUUGAAUAGUCCAGAACGUUUCGUACAUCUGUGGCUGAAUGUAUUGAUUCUUGUUCAAGAUUGGAAUAAGGACCAUAACGUAAUGUAUUUGAUGGAUAACGUUAUCCGCGCGGCGUUUUUUCACUUAGAAUCCAGAGCAAUGAUGGAGAACAUGUUCCAAAAUCUCUUUUACCCUGCUAUAGACGGAAGUAACGAGAAUAUAUCAUCUAAUCGAACGCCGGGAUCGUUCGGAUCGUUUCUAAGUUGGGCAACAGGAUCUUCCAGCUCAACAAGUCUUCUCGGUGGAACCGUUCAGACGAUAUGGCUCGCUUAUCAAAUACUUUCGACAGAACAAUACGACAGGGAACUUAAAACCGGAUUAUGGCGUGAAAUUCUGGGAGAACUGUCUAUGCAAUCCAAGAUAUCUUUAGAUACAGCCCUCAAGAGAGCCUGUGCAACAGUGAAGAUGACUCCGUUCGGAGUAAACAAUCUAGCUAUCUAUCGCUGGUCCCAGCAAGCGCUUGAUACACCGAUGGAUCAUCCAAUUUUGCCGCUUUUGUGGCAAAACUUCUUUAGUUUGUUUCUUGCGCGAGCUCCUACUAUUCCAGGAUUAAUGGACAAAGGUGGAAUUGGAGAAAAAUUUUUUGAAGGAAUGAUAAAUCUUAGCUACUUGAAGAAGUUGAAAAGACGAUUGCAUGAAACGACGGAGUUUUUCCAAAUGAAAGGAGAAAAAGACACGGACGACGGAAAACCGAUUAUGGACGAACGACGUGUAUUUUAUCUCAGUACCGCAAAGUUUUACAAAACGUUGAGUCUUUGGUUGGAAGAACCUCGUCUUCAAGAGCCGGGGCUUUAUCUUCCAGCACUUCCACCGCAAUACAUGUCGCAAAGGCUAAUUUUGUUGAUACAAGGAGAUCGAACUCUCUGGCUGGAAUACGUGGAUUACUGGGCGGUACAACAGUGCCAAUUCAAGGCCGUUUGUGAGUGGCAGCGCGUGACGUUUCGCGACCCCGAAAGCCAAUAUCAGAAGUUUUCCCAGCCUUCUUCAUUGAGCGCCACGGAAUUGAACGAUCCUCUGUGCAGAAUCUUUCGCAGGUUGAGUUCCUACGAGCCGCCAGCGUUACCACCGCCUCUGAACCGAAGUCAACCGGUGCUAGGUUGCAUAGCCAGGAAAUGCCUCUACGACUACGCUGCUAUUGUCGAUUUAGUCAAACCACAUCUCCGAGUCAUUCUCGACUAUGCACAGACCUACAGUCUUAUGGUAUCCGAGCACACCGCGGCAGACUGUAGCUUUCUCGAAUUGGUCCCGACUCUUUAUCGAGUUUACGAGAACCGUGUUACCUUACAUGCUCUCUGCGACCCCGCGCCAUCCAAUCAGAGACGCUCCAGAUCGGGCACGCCUCCCACAGUGCAUUGCGCGGGUCCGGCGAUCAUCGAGAUUACAGUCGAAGAAGCACAUGUCAGCGAAAGCGUGGAUCAUAUGAUAACUCAAAAUCGAGCUGAGUACGAAAAUCUCUUAGUGAAAGCUAGUCAACCGCCACCCAGCAAAGUCACCUUGGGCUGUGUUUUCAUUGAUCAUAUAAUCGCGAUGUUGGAACACGAGUUAACUGUCAGUCGUACUAACGAAAAUACCGCUGUAUUGUGCAAAGUACAAGAGAGCGGAGUCAAACUGUUCUAUUAUCUAGUAGAAUUCUAUACGGAAGAAGCAGCGUUGUGCCCCCCCACAAAGCAGCUUGUCACUACUUGCUUGGAGAAGUUGGGCCAGUUAUUUAUUAGCGGCGAGGAGUCUCAGGGUCCACAAUUACUGAGUACUAUAAUCCAAAGACCUACUCUUGGAGGUCUGUUAGGUCCACAUUUCACUCCUGUCGCUGGAGGAGCCUCCACAUUCCUGCAAAUGUAUCAAACUGUUGUGGACUUGUCCACCGGAUCCAAUGUUGACCUGUGCUUCGUAUUACUUUCGAAGUUUGAUGUCGGCAGCUGGUUGAAUUAUCGCCGUCCGCGAUUGAGCGAAAGGUCUACCUUCAUAGAUCUAGUUUCUAGAGCGUUGUGCAAUAUCGGUUUAAAUCCGGAAGAAGAAAAGUUGAUUCUGCAUGAACUGUUUCGAAAUCACCUGCGGCUCAUUCUUCUGCACGAAUUUCCCGAGCACUAUGGUGAAGUAUUGAGCGCGGUGCUGAGGGGAUCCGAGAGUCAGAAUCUAUCUCUGGAUGUGUGGCGUGAUUUGCUGGGAGCUCUCAGCGGCAAACCGAAAAAUAUUGCACCCUCCCAGAAUCCUCCAAAAAUCAGAGAUGAGAUUAGAUACUACGCUACGGAACAGAGACUUCUGUCACGCCAGGAGAUGCACGAUACUGCAGUACUUCUAAGCCGACACUUUAUGAAAGAAAGGUUGCAAUAUGGAUUGUACGGGCUUUAUCCAAAGUAUAGAAGUUAUAACGAGCCAUUGACCAUCUUUCUGGGUAUGGUCAGUCACGCUUUAGUUGUAUUGACGUUGCAGGCUGAUCGAGGAUCUCUUGCUGAUCAAUUGUGCGAGAAGAUUUGGCCGGUAUUGAGCGAAAUGUACGCGCCGUGGAUCACUCCAUACUGGACGAGGAACCUACGGGAGCCGACGGCCGCAUGGAUUCAGCAGCUAACGGAUGACAGAUCGGUGCUGCUACCAUGGAUUAUCACGGAUGGCCCUUAUGCGAAUCGUACGAUGGCAAUGUUCGCCGAAUGCAUUCGUUUCAUCAUCGAUACCAUGCCAGCAUCCAGUAAGAUUCUCAGCUUUGUGUGGCAAUUCUAUGUGUCGAACUACGCUCACGCGUCCGUCAAAGACCACGUGCUGAACGUCGUGCACGGUAACCUGUUGUCUCUUCCCUGGGAUCGCUUCUGCCCUGCCGUCAACGAUGUCGAGUUAAUGAUCCGAGUCAUCGAUCAAUAUCUGCCGGAUUGUCACUUAUUUCUCGGAAGCAUCUUUACCUGUGUUAAUUGGCCCAACUGGAUCAGUGAAUUAAUGAUCACACAGCCGUUGCCGGUUGCCGCCAGGAUGCACAUUUGUCUGCUGAACUUGCUAGUAAAACUAUCCAAUGAACCGAAUGUCAGGCAGUAUUUCAGAAUGAGAAGGCGGUGCAAUUGGUCACGGAAGCCGAAAACUUCUCUUGGCAUCUGAUCGAUGCCGCGGCGUACGACCAGGUGAUUAAUUGGCACGUGAUGAGUUGCGAUCCUAAAGUAAUCUUGUAUCUAGGCAAAGACCAAACUCAUCCUAUCGACGCAACCAUCAACAAUUUGCUGAAAGUAGCGGCAGCUUACGAUCCUACAGUGAAACAUUUUCAUCCUACUACUCUGAAGAAGAGACAGAUGUACAUACGUUCUUCGGUGAAAUUGUUGAUCAAUUGCACCACGAGACAUAAGUCUCUUCUCUCGA